GCAACUAUAGUUCAGCGGUAGAACAGCCCACAGCUCAGAAAACGGGCGUUGGGAAGGUCGAGGGUUCAAAUCCCUCUGUUUGCA